AUUGCUUCUUGGUCUUUUGGCUAAGAUCAAGUGUAGUGUAAAUAUUAGCUCUACUUUAUACUAAGGUUACAUUAACAGAACCUUGCAGUUUGACAGCACAAUUGUCCCUAUUGCCCUUAUAUCCCAAGACACUAUGGGAUGGGGAGUGUCUCUUC
rnacentral:snRNA from 1 species